rnacentral:rRNA from 1 species
GGCGGCAGGCUACACAUGCAGUCGAGCGGAUGAAGGAGCUUGCUCCUGGAUUCAGCGGCGGACGGGUGAGUAAUGCCUAGGAAUCUGCCUGGUAGUGGGGGACAACGUUUCGAAAGGAACGCUAAUACCGCAUACGUCCUACGGGAGAAAGCAGGGGACCUUCGGGCCUUGCGCUAUCAGAUGAGCCUAGGUCGGAUUAGCUAGUUGGUGAGGUAAUGGCUCACCAAGGCGACGAUCCGUAACUGGUCUGAGAGGAUGAUCAG